CGACAAACCUUGUUCGGUUUUG
rnacentral:miRNA from 1 species